rnacentral:rRNA from 1 species
UGACAGUACUCCUACGGGAGCAGCAUGGGGAAUAUUGCACAAUGGGCGCAAGCCUGAUGCAGCAACGCCGCGUGAGCGAUGAAGGCCUUCGGGUCGUAAAGCUCUGUCCUCAAGGAAGAAUAAAUGACGGUACUUGAGGAGGAAGCCCCGGCUAACUACGUGCCAGCAGCCGCGGUAAUACGUAGGGGGCAAGCGUUAUCCGGAAUCACUGGGCGUAAAGGGUGCGUAGGCGGUUUUUCUAAGUCAGAAGUGAAAAGGCGUAUGGCUCAACCAUAGUUAAGACUUUUGUAAACUGUUAAACUUGAGUGCAGGAGAGGAAGUGGAAUUCCUAGUGUAGAGGUGAAAUUCGUAGAUAUUAGGAGGAACACCAGUGGCGAAGGCGACUUUCUGGACUGUAACUGACGCUGAGGCACGAAAGCGUGGGGAGCGAACAGGAUUAGAUACCCUGGUAG